GGAAGAUGAUUUGGAUGGGAUAUAUCACGAAGUUCGAUUGGAUUCUUAUCAGUUUCGUUUAUCAUCUGUUAUUUUGUUGAUACUCGGGAAGAACGCGAUACUACAAAGUUGAAAAACAGAAAUCACUCUCGCGAAGUCGAGUUUUCAUCGUCGUUGGAAAUCGGGAUUACUUUCUUCUCCUCCCCCUUCAAGUUGUGCCCCCUCCAGUUUCACGAAUUUACGUACUGGCAAACCGAAGUCUGGUGGCUCGUUCAUUUCUGUUUCCGCUGUUGACCGAGCUCAAGCUUUUCGUUGUGUACCGAUGAACAAAUUGCUGUACGAAAAAAAAAGAAGCGUUUCGAACAUUCGCUCGAUCAUUCCACAUUCAUACGAUUCAGAAAUGAAGCGACCAAUAUGGAGGAAUGGAAUUUCAUGCAAUUUGUGCAAGGCUCUGUUACAAUGCAGCCGAGAAAUGAGUUGAUGAAGCUAAUUGUGAAACUCCGGUCAGUCACUGGAAAUGAAGAUGAAAUAAAGUCAAUGAUAUGCAAAAAAUGAAAUAGGAAUUUCCACGCUCCACUUCUGGCUCAAAUUUUAACAUUCUUCAUCUGAGUAGAUCGAGUACACAUUCCUGCUGAAGUAAUGAAAGUAUCUUCAACAAUUCUAAUUGCAAUCAAUGAUGGCCAGAAUUGAAAAUUCUAACAUGAAAGCCUGAUAAGGAUUUAAUGAUCCAGCUUGAGCCAGAAGGCGUUUGAGGCUGAUUAAGGGGACAGUAUCGGUGAAAAAAAAUCUUGAUGGACCGUGCACAAGAGGAUCUCCCAACAAGAUUGAUCUUUGUUCCUGACCCAAGCAAGAUGCACACAAGAUAAUAGAAAAGAAAAAUAUCUUGCAUCGGAAUUGUAGAUGAUGAUGAGAAACAUGUUUCAAUAAAAAAUUCUCAAUUCA